GUCUGGUUGAUGUUAACAUCUUGGUUAGGAGCUCCUCUAAGGUGUGGUUGAUGUUAACACCUUGGUUAGGAGCUCCUCUAAGGUCUGGUUGAUGUUAACACCUUGGUUAGGAGCUCCUCUAAGGUGUGGUUGAUGUUAACACCUUGGUUAGGAGCUCCUCUAAGGUCUGGUUGAUGUUAACACCUUGGUUAGGAGCUCCUCUAAGGUGUGGUUGAUGUUAACAUCUUGGUUAGGAGCUCCUCUAAGGUCUGGUUGAUGUUAACAUCUUGGUUAGGAGCUCCUCUAAGGUGAGGUUGUCUGGUUGCUGUUUGCUCUCCCUGAGCAGGACCACCUCUCCCUCCAGUUUGGUGAACUCAUCCCUCAUGGCAGCCAUGGUGGUGAGGAGGGCCUGAGCCUGCUCUGCACUGAGGGGGUCGCUCUCCUCCUGGGGCAUGUCCUCCACUAUGGUGGGAAGAGAGGUGCUGGAUGUGCCUUUUUGGGUGGGGAUAGUAGGGGUGAGGGUGGUGCUGGUGGAGUUUGUCUUGUGGGAGGACAGUCCCAGUCUUGUAGAGGUUGAUUGUUAUCAUGGUGCUGUCAGGGUCGUCUGUCUCUUUGAUUUUCAGCUUCCACCCAUUACAGAUUCCCUCUUUCUUUAUGGAUGGGUAGUGAGAGCAGACUGCUAAGCGCCAUGCAUUUGGCUGGUCAGUGAGGAAGAUGAGAUUACUCACAUCACCGUUUUUGUAGAGGUCUGCGAAAAGGGUUUCUGGCCUCCCCUUUAGUAGUUUCUGUUUAAAAGCUUUCCUCGUUGUGUCAUUUUUGGCCUCUAGAGGGUAGAGAAUGGAUUCAGCGCUACGGGGCUGUGGGGACACGGUGCCUGUGGGCUCUGCUACUACUGCUGCUGUUCCGCUGCCCCGUUGCCAUAGCAACCGAUUUGUUUGUCUUCUGCUGUUGCUAGCUAGCUCUAAUUUAGUUCAAAAACCAGCAAAAACGAGUGACAAAUCUUCACACAAAAAAACAGAAGAUAUGUUUAAAGUUAGUCCGUGCUCCUUUUUGGUUUACUCACUCAGUUUGGUCGUUUGAUGUAGUUGUAAUAACUCCCCUUGCUAGGUUUGUUCUAGCUCAUUUCUUCUGUCUAGCGUGUUAGUCUGCUGGCUAGGUCUUUGUUGUGUAGCUAGCUAGCUAGGGUCAAAACCUCUUAACUUGAGGCGCAAAGUUACUUUCUUUUCUAUUCUGAAUGAAUAGAGUUGUUGUUCAUCACUUCAUGUCUGUAAAUCUUUUUCGAUUAGAGUGUUUAUCUCAUUCUAAAAACAAAAAAAU
rnacentral:lncRNA from 1 species